CUGCUGCCACGGACUGACUGCUCCAACCGCCGUGUCUUCCACCAUGAUGGACUGUGCUCUCUACCAUGAGCCCCGCCCGACAGACCUCCCUCCUGUUCCAACAGGAAACAAGACACUUGGAGUAGAGACAGGAUCUCGGCCCUUCCUAAAAUUCCCGAAGCCAGGAAGAAGCAACAAGAAUCCAAAGAGGCAAGAGUAGUGCCCACUGGGACACCCAGCUGGAUCUACUGAGGCAGGUCUCCUGGCUUCCGGCCAUCCCUUCAGUAGACACUGCUGUGGGGAAGGCAGAGGCAGACUACAAGUGACUCUCCACCCUCCACACCCCCCAUUCUGACCCAAACUCUAAACAAAGCCCUUUCUCUGUUUUAUGUAUUUUACAUUGAUAUCUCUUAAUGUGGCCGAAUGACUGGACCCAGGAGCAGGCCCUUUGGGCAGGAACUUAGGUAACAGAAUUUGUCAAACAUUGAGGGACAACACAACUACAGGGUUUUCACUCGCUCACUGACCCUGAACAAAAGGGGAGAACGGAAGUCGCCCCUGCAGCUUUGAAAUCUAGUUUGGUUUGGGGGCAUCCCUUCUUUCUGUGCCAACAUGGAUGGCCCUUUGCAGUGUGUGGUACCACAGGAAAAAGUAAGUGUUUUGAAAACUGUAAGCCCAAAGUCAGUUUCCUGAGUGUCUUCUCAGGGGUGGGCAUGUCAGGUCCCCUCUUGUGCGUGUGUCCUAGUGCAUGCACGCGUCUAUAUGUGUGCAUGCACACAUGUGUGUGUGUGUGUUGUGUGUGUAUGUGUGCCUGUGUGUGCAUGCAUGUGUACACGCCUGUGUGCAUAUGUGCAUGCACGCAUGUCUGUUUGUAUUUGAGGAUUCCUUUGAGGUAAAUUGGGGAUUAUUUAUUGGGUCAAUUUGGGGUUCCCUUUGAACUAUCUGAAAGGAAGUUUGGAUUGUUUACGGUCUGUGCUGUUCCCACCAAACUGAGUCAUCCAACAGGGACCCAGAGGGUUUAGAGAGCCCUGUGGUUGGCAUGAGAAGGAACUCCCUAGAGAAAUUAUGAUGAGCCCUGCAGCAUGCUGUGUGUCUGAGAGAGUACUCCUAUGUGACAGACUGACUGUGCCUCAGAAGUGUCUGGCUGCCGCAGCCACAGAAGUUUCUGACUUUUUGAACUUAAGCUUUUUUUCCCCCUGGUGAAUUCACCUUUUUAGGUCUGUGCACUCAGAUUUAUUUAUUUAUAAAUAUGAGAUGUACUUAGUGUAUCUUAUCUAUAUUGACAUGUAAUUUAUAUGUGUUUGUUUUUGGUUUUGGUGGUUGUAAGUUUUGGCUCCCUAUCUGGUUUUUAUUCUCUGCUAAAAUAAUCUGUUGUUCAGUCACUUGGUAACUGUUACUCAGCCAUUCCUGGCUAGAAUGAAAAUAUCCAAAGAAUUAACUCAGCCUGUUUGGGACUAGAAAAAAAGGUAAAAGUUGUGGAGUUUUGCUUUGUUUGUUUUAUUUUUAAGCCAAGUUAUUGUACAUAAAAUUUUACUAUGUUGCUUUGUCUUAUGACUGAAAUUUAAACUUAAGAAAAUCUCUGACAAAUGGGUUAAUUUAAAUUUGUUGGCAAAUAAAAGGAAUAUCUUAACACCUGCCAAAAAUAAAUUAAAUAUAAGAUGUGAUAGAUAUUCAUAUAUAUUAGAAGUAAAACCUCUGAGUCAUUUAUAAAUAUGUUAAAAUAGUAAAACAUCAUUUGUUAAGUAUGUACCCAAGUCUUUUGGUGUCUUAAAAAUCCAUGAGAUGAUAAUACAUUUAGGUCUACUGUGUUUCAUAGGCUAUCAAAACACAUUGUGACAUAAUAUCAAGAAACAGCUCUGAUCUUUGUAACAGUAAACAACUAUUCCAGAUUCCAGAGGAAUUAUGUAUCUCUCGAAAUAGAGGCUGUAUUUAAAGAUCACUUGCAUCCAAUAUAAGCUAGAGCAAUGCAGUUUAAAAAUAACUGUCAUGUUUGUUUGCCGUUCUUAACUACCCUAGCUUUAAUAAUUAUGCAAGGGCAACUCAUUUGCACUUAAGUUGUAAAAUACGACCGUCUAUUUUAGGUAGCAGUCGAUUUUAGAAAAAUUUCUUCCUGUUUUCAUGUAGAGGCCCACUAGUAAAGACUGCUUUAAACUAUUCUAAGGAGAAUUAAUAACUGAACUCAACUGGCCUCUUAAUGAAGCAGGUUCAUUUGUGUUCCCUGACAGCAAUAGACAAUAGGGCCCAGAGAGGAUUGCCAUAAGGGGCUCACCUCUCAGCAGCAGGUAGGUGGCUGCUGUUUUCCUGGGUAGUCUUUUCUUAGAUUAGAGACAAAGUCUCUAAAACAAUCAUCUUCAUAAUGUACAAAAAACUUGCAAAUUUCAAAAACAAAAAUCUUGAGCUUUUCA